rnacentral:rRNA from 1 species
CACGUAAUUAGCCGGUCCUUAUUCGUAUGGUACUGUCAUUUUUCUUCCCAUACAAAAGAUUUUUUACAACCCGAAGGCCUUCUAAAUCACGCGGCGUCGCUGCAUCAGGGUUUCCCCCAUUGUGCAAAAUUCCCCACUGCUGCCUCCCGUAGGAGUCUGGGCCGUGUCUCAGUCCCAAUGUGGCCGUACACUCUCUCAAGCCGGCUACUGAUCGUUGCCUUGGUGGGCCGUUACCUCACCAACUAGCUAAUCAGACGCGAGUCCAUCUUACACCGAUAAAUCUUUGAUAAGCUCUUCAUGCGAAGAGUUUAUGUCAUAGGGUAUUAUUCGUCGUUUCCAACGGCUAUCCCCUUGUGUAAGGCAGGUUACUCACGCGUUACUCACCCGUCCGCCACUAAUCCAAUAUUUUUCAUCCCGAAGGAAUCUAAAUAUCUUCAUCGUUCGACUUGCAUGUGUUAUUGCACGCCGCCAGCGUUAAUCCUGAGCCAGGAUCAAACUCUCUAGAGACUCGACCG